CUGGCUCAGAUUGAACGCUGGCGGCAUGCUUUACACAUGCAAGUCGAACGGCAGCGCGGGCUUCGGCCUGGCGGCGAGUGGCGAACGGGUGAGUAAUAUAUCGGAACGUGCCCAAGAGUGGGGGAUAACGUAGCGAAAGUUACGCUAAUACCGCAUACGAU
rnacentral:rRNA from 1 species